rnacentral:rRNA from 1 species
GAUGAACGCUGGCGGCGUGCCUAAUACAUGCAAGUCGAGCGAACGGACGAGAAGCUUGCUUCUCUGAUGUUAGCGGCGGACGGGUGAUGAACACGGGGAUAACCUAACUAUAAGACUUGGAUAACUUCGGGAAACCGGGGCGAAUACCGGAUAAUAUUUUGAACCGCAUUGUUCAAAAGUAAAAGACGGUCGUGCUGUCACUUAUAGAUGGAUCAGCGCUGCAUUAGCUAGUUGUUAAGGUAACGGCUUACCAAGGCAACGAUGCAUAGCCGACCUGAGCGGGUGGUCCGCUACACUGGCACUGAGACACGGUCGCGACACCUACGGGAGGCCGCAGUAGGGAAUCUUACGCAAUGCGCGAGAGCCUGACGGAGCAACGCGGGGUGAGUGCUGAAGGUCUUCGGCUCGUAAAACUAUGUUAGUAGGGAAGAACAUAUGUGUAAGUACCUGUGAACAUCUUGACGGUACCUAAUCAGAAAGCUACGGCUAACUACGUG